AACAAGUUUGGAGAACCCAUGCUGAAUCCACACUCCACUGAAGAACCCAUCCUCCUGUCAUAAAUCUAAAUAUUAUCCACACUCCACUGAAGAACCCAUCCUCCUGUCCUAAAUCUAAAUAUAAUCCACACUCCACUGAAGAACCCAUUCUCCUGUCCUAAAUCUAAAUAUUAUCCACACUCCACUGAAGAACCCAUCCUCCUGUCCUAAAUCUAAAUAUUAUCCACACUCCACUGAAGAACCCAUCCUCCUGUCCUAAAUCUAAAUAUUAUCAAUUUUAUCUCAAAAAAUAUUUACUGAGUAAUUGACAAUAUUUAAUGUUUUAGUUUUGGAGUUGUUCUGUUUUUAUGCUUUCUGUUAUUUAUUUUCAUCAAUUUACGUGAUUUUAUAUUUCCGUGUCAUUGAUUAAAAGAUGCCAUCUCUUGUCGGAGAGAUUACCUAUGUUCGGAAUUCAGCCAAUGAGGGUUCAACUUAAUCUGUUUAUUCAAAAUGUCAAGCUUCUCAGAAAAGCUUAAAUCGAAAAUUCUAAUGAUUUAAACAACUAAAAAAUCAUGUUGGGUGUUAGAAUAUAAGUUUAGAAUGUCGACGUAAUUUUCAGGGGCUUUCCACUUUCAUAUAGACAUGCCCGAUUCACUACGGCACCCUUUAAAUUUUCCUCAGUUUUCGCUUGAUUGACCAGAAUUUUGAAAUCGCAAUUACUGCCUUUACAGGGGUUGUAAACGUUAUUUCAAAUUAUAAGUCAUUUAAAGACUGGCAAGUCCGAUUCACAACGGUACCCUUAAUUGUCUGUUCACGUUUGCAUUUAAUAUCUAUGCUUAAUUUCGCUAAACAAAACAUUUUUAAAGCUAAAAGACUACAUUAUCUUCCAUCAUAAUGAGUUAGAUAAAGGUUUCAAGGGUAUCGUUGUGAAUCGGACAUUUCCAUCUUUUUAUGGAGUGUAACUUAAAUUUACGCCUACAGUACCUAUAAUCCAUUUUGUGUUUAUAUAUCUCCUCCGAAUAGAAAGAGCUGACUAAUUCUAUUAAAUUGAACUGGAUAUAACUAGAAACUUUAGAAUUGUAUUCUCAGAAAUAUGUAAUUUCAGAUAAACAAUAGAAGCAUUAAGAUCAACAUUCAACACAGUGCUUGGUGUAGGCUACUAUAGAUGAGUAAAGACUGGAUGAGGUUUAAGUGCAAUGACCCCUUCAUCUCCAUUAUCCCCUCCAGCUAAAAAAAUAAAGAUGGGGGAACCAGGAAAAGGAUGUGAAACGAAGGAUGGUAUUGAAACUGCCAAAGACAGUUGUGAUGAUUCUGAUUCUAAAUUAAAGACAGACAACUACUCUGUUCUCACAGAUGAAGACGGAGAAACAGCUGUAAUUACUACAGCAGCAGCUGUUAGAACUUCAGAGAAGUACUCGUCCAUUGAUAAGAAUUCGGCGUCCAAACUUGAAUAUUGUCGUGUCCGAAAUCAAAAUGAUAUUGUUACCAUUCCAGCGUCAGAUGAUGAAACUAGCGAUGAAUCCAUGAAUUUAGUUCAAGAAAGGGAAAAGUUUUCUGUUCAGACCGCCACCAGUUCUAAAUUCACGAUGGAAAACACACAGGAUUCAGUAUCUGUCUGUUUGUAUGAUGAAACAAAUAGAAAAGUCCAGAACAGUGGAACUCCGACUAAAUUCAGUUACGCAGAUGUGUUGAAAAGUUCUCCGACUAAAGAAAGACAAACUCCAAGAAAGGAAGAAAGUACAGCUAGUCAUGGAGCUACAUUUACCGUUCAUGACUUUCAUGAAAACGAUGAUACAGAUAAAGAAGAUGUUGCAAAUGAUACUGAUGUGUCGGAAUUUAACUCAUCCCAGGAUAUGUUCGGAUCUCAGGAACUCAAACGGACCUUGACAGUAAGCGAGUGUACUGCUGGUUGUGAACUAGAUGAGUUGGGUAGACUAGGUGUAACCGUUCCACAUCCUUCAUCUCCUCUUAAACCAUCCUCCACGCAUACAGUUCUUCUUCACUCUCAUUCUCUUAAUUUGGACAGAGUUCCUGCUCCCUACCCUACUGUAUCCCGUGAUAAUAAUGAUGUCUGGGAUAAUGAACAUGUUCGUCUACCCUGGUCUAGGCAUAACCAGUAUGUUGACAAUAGUAGUAAUAACAACGGUAGAAAGAAGAAGAACAAGAAUAGAAACAGACCUGAGUUAAAGUCCAGAUGGAGAAUGAUAAAGGAAGUGUUAGGUCAACAGAUCUCCUCUACUCUGCAACUGCGUGAGGCAAUCCUUAGUUACAAUUCAAGGUUUUAUGAUGACCCAAACUGGUCGUUCCAGUGUUUGCAUGAGAUAGUUGAGGACUUCAAUGAAGCUGAAGAGGAAUUAUUUUUCACAAAAAUACUUCCUGGGAUGAUAAAGUUAUGCUUAGCAGGACCAGAGGAAAUUACUGGACCCAUUCCUCUUCUUCGUCAAUCACAGAGAAUGAGUAUAUCUCUGUCCCAGCACCAGAUCUCUAUUCUACUUGCUAAUGCAUUUUUCUGCACAUUUCCUAGGAGGAACAACGCUGGACCUAAAUCUGAUUAUGUAAACUAUCCAGAUAUAAACUUCAACAGGUUGCUCAGUGUAAAUAUUAGAAGACCUGAGGCACAAGCUGAAAAGAUCAAGUGUAUUCUUGCAUAUUUCAGGAAUGUUAUUGAGAAUCCUCCGGUUGGUGUUGUAACCUUUAAACGGCAGGUUUUGUCUCGACAAAGUAUACCAAACUGGAGAACUACAAGGGUUCCCAUGUCUAGCAUUAAACUACGAAUAUCUAUGACAGGAACCAUAGAAACAGAUGGACAAGGGAUGCUACAAGUAGAUUUUGCAAACAAGUUUGUAGGAGGUGGUGUACUAGGACAAGGACUGGUCCAGGAGGAGAUCAGGUUUACAAUCUGCCCGGAGCUCAUCAUCUCCAGACUCUUCACGGAGGUUCUAGGGGACAGAGAGGUUCUCCUCAUGAGGGGAGCUCAGCAGUAUUCAAGAUAUACCGGGUAUGGAGAUAGUUUCAAAUUUGCUGGUUCUUUCAUUGACACAACAGAAGUAGAUAGUUGUUUUAGAAGAGCCACUCAUAUAGUAGCAAUGGAUGCUACACUCUUCCAUAAUAGUCAGAUUCAGUAUUGCGAGAAAAUGAUAAUACGGGAGCUGAACAAAGCUUAUGCUGGGUUUCAGGAGACAGGGAACCAUGUCAACAACAAGAAGUGUGCUGUUGCUACUGGAAACUGGGGUUGUGGUGCUUUUAGGGGUGACCCAGAGUUAAAGUUUUUAAUCCAACUGAUGGCUGCUGCCCAAGCUGGAAGAAGUGUUUAUUAUCUUACUUUUGGUGAUUCAAGGCUAGUCAGGAACGGAUGGAGGGUAUUUGAUUUGCUGAGUAGAAAGGAUAUUAGUGUGGGUCUCCUGUACAGUAUAAUUGCUAAAUACAGGAAAAAGGCUGAACUGAAUGUAUGUAGGGGAGGUGAUGAUGUUGAUCUGCUUGAGUAUGUUGAGGCUCAAGUGCAGCUAGAUAUAGAUCCAGAACUAGUGUUUCCUACAGAUAAGACAGAUCAACCAUACUCCGCCUAUGAUGAAGAUACUGAUGAUGAAAGACCUUCUUCUCCAGUUUAUCAACCAAUCUCUAGUCCAGUCGAGAUGAAUGCUCAGGAUUUAGCAAUUCUCUCCGAAUACAAGAACGUGGACACUUCCUCUACAUUGAUCAAUGGUCCAGGGACCACUGAAACAUUCUCUCAGGGCCCAGAGGGGUCCUUAGCUAGUUUAGAACUAGUCUGCACAAGAGAAGACCCAUGCAAGAUUAAAUCGUGUACAUAUAAAACUCCUUGUCUUAGAGCUCAGCCUGAAAAGUCAAAGAUUACACCAUUUGAUGAGGUCAGGAAUUCUACGACCAGCUCAGAGAAGGAGGUCAAUAGUUAUACAACCAACUCACAGAAGGAGGUCAGGAUUUCUAUGACCAACUCAGAAAAGGAGGUCAGGAGUUCUACGACCAACUCAGAAAAGGAGGUCAAGAGUUAUACGUCCAACUCAGAAAAAGAGGUCAGGAGUUCUUCAACUCUCUCAGAAAAGGAGGUCAGGAGUUCUACUACUCUCUCAGAAAAGGAGGUCAGGAGUUCUACGACUCUUUCAGAAAAGGAGGUCAGAAGUUCUACGACCCUCUCAGAAAAGGAGGUCACUGAAGCUUCUUCAACGGAUCCCUUGGAUAUUCUCGAGAAUGGACUAAAGAGUUCCGUGAAUUCACGAACUAAAAACUCGGUUUUCUCCGUAAAAUCAGAGAAAAAAUCCAAGAGGGAGGAGAAAAAUAAGAUAACAAAUUACUUACUUCCAAAACCAAAAAAAAAAUAAUCUAACGUGCCUUUUAAACAUCUGAAAUAGAACUUCUGUUUCAUAUAUCCUACUUUACAUGAGUGAUGAAGGAUAAAUAAAUAUUACGCGUACAGUCCCUUUAAGAAUUAAACUAAGAACUAAAUAUCAACAAUUAAAUAAGGUAUUAAAUAUUGAUUUGGAAAAUUGAUGGAUUGCCAUACAUAAUACUCAAUGAAUGCAGGGUUAAUACUGAACACACACUUGUCUUUUACCAUCCUAGUAUUUAACAGUCUUCACUAAUUGCUGGAACAAGAAACAAGGUUAUAAAUUGCAAUCAGGGUGUCUUAGUUUAAAUAAGGUUGAUAAAAGGGUGUCUCAGUAUAAAUAAGGCUGAUAAAAGGGUGUUUCAGUAUAAAUAAGCCUGAUAAAAGGGUGUCUCGGUAUAAAUAAGCGUGAUAAAAGGGUGUCUCAGUAUAAAUAAGGCUGAUAAAAGGGUGUCUCAGUAUAAAUAAGGCUGAUAAAAGGGUGUCUCAGUGUGAAUAAGGCUGAUAAAAGGGUGUCUCAGUAUAAAUAAGGCUGAUAAAAGGGUGUCUCAGUGUGAAUAAGGCUGAUAAAAGGGUGUCUCAGUUUAAAUAAGGCUGAUAAAAGGGUGUCUUAGUAUAAAAAAGGCUGAUAAAAGGGUGUCUCAGUAUAAAUAAGGCUGAUAAAAUGGUGUCUCAGUGUGAAUAAGGCUGAUAAAAGGGUGUCUCAGUUUAAAUAAGGCUCAUAAAAGGGUAUCUUGGUAUAAAUAAGGCUGAUAAAAGGGUGUCUCAGUAUAAGUAAGGCUGAUAAAAGGGUGUCUUAGUAUAAAUAAGGCUGAUAAAAGGGUGUCUUAGUAUAAAUAAGCCUGAUAAAAGGGUGUCUCGGUAUACAUAAGCGUGAUAAAAGGGUGUCUCAGUAAAAAUAAGGUUGAUAAAAGGGUGUCUCAGUAUAAAUAAGGCUCAUAAAAGGGUGGCUCAGUAAAAAUAAGCCUGAUAAAGGGUGUCUCAGUAUAAAUAAGCCUGAUAAAAGGGUGUCUCAGUAUAAAUAAGGCUUAUAAAAGGGUGUCUCAGUAUAAAUAAGGCUGAUAAAAGGGUGCCUUAGUAUAAAUAAGCCUGAUAUAAGGGUGAUGAAUGUAUGAAUGUAUAAAUGUAUGAAUUUAUGAAUGAGGCUGAUAAAGGGUGUCUCAGUAAAAAUAAUGCUGAUAAAAUGGUGUCUCAGUAAAAAUAAGGCUUAUAAAAGGAUGUCUCAGUAAAAAUAAGGCUUAUAAAAGGUUGUCUCAGUAAAACUAAGGCUGAUAAAAGGGUGUAUCAUUAUAAACAAGGCUGAUAAAAGGGUGUAUCAGUAUAAAUAAGGCUGAUAAAAGGGUGUCUAUAAAUAAGCCUGAUAAAAGGGUGUCUCAGUAUAAAUAAGGCUUAUAAAAGGGUGUGUCAGUAUAAAUAAGCCUGAUAAAAGGGGUGUCUCAGUAUAAAUAAGCCUGAUAAAAGGGUGUUUCAGGUAUGAAUAAGGCUGACAAAAGGGUGUCUCAGUAUUAAUAAGCCUGAUAAAAGGGUGUCUCAGUAUGAGUACGGCUGAUAAAAGGCUGUCUAAGCCUAAAUAAGGCUAUAAAAGGGUUUUUCUGUAUAUAACUGGGUGUCGCAGAGAACUCUGUGUCUCAAGGUAAAUAAGGCUACCGAACUAUGUGUUUAAGAGUAAAUAAGGCUACAAAACUAAGUGUUUAAGAGUAAAUAAGGCUACCAAGCUCUGUGUCUCAAGCUAAAUAAGGCUACCAAACUAUGUGUUUAGGAGUAAAUAAGGCUACCAAACUCUGUGUCUCAAACUAAAUAAGGCUACCAAACUAUGUGUUUAAGAGUAAAUAAGGCUACCAAACUCUGUGUCUCAAGGUAAAUAAGGCUACCAAACUAUGUGUCUCAAGGUAAAUACGGCUACCAAAAUCUGUGUCUCAUGGUAAAAAAGGCUACCAAACUAUGGAUCUCAAGCUAAAUAAGGCCACCAAGCUAUGUGUCUAAGAGUAAAUAAGGCCACCAAACUCUGUGUCUCAAGGUAAACAAGGCUACCAAACUAUGUGUCUUAAGAGUAAAUAAGGCUACCUAACUCUGUGUCUCAAGCUAAGUAAGGCUACCAAACUCUGUGUCUUAUGGUAAUUAAGGCUACCAAACUCGUACCAAGGUAAAUUAGGCUACAAAACUAUGUGUCUCAGUACAAAGUAGGCUACCAGACUUUCAAGUAAAUAAGGCUACCAGAUCCUGGGUGUGGAAAUUUUUAAAAUAAUGAAUUUUCCAAAUAAUGAAUUUUCCAAAUCGGUUAAUUAUAUUUUUGUGUAAUUUGAUAUUUGACAUAUAAACAGAGUUGUUUUCAUAGAUGUAGCAUUUAAUCGACGAUAAACUUGGAAACUCAUAAACAACUUCAGGGGAUAAUAUAUUCCCCCCAAAAAAAAAAAAGUUAAAUUUUCGGACAAGGAAUUUUUUUUUUGGAAUAUAGAAAUUAAAAUGAAAAAAGGGAAAGCCAUAUAUGCUAGUUUUUAGUUCCAUUUUAUCAACUACCAAAAAAUGUUGGCAAUUAUUGGAUGUAUAUACUAUAUCCCUGAACAAUUGUUCCUCAAAUGACCCACUUUAGACACAAAAAGUUCAUCUGAUGUUGGUACUUGAUUACACAGUAUAAUAAUGUUGAAUUUGACACCUGUUAUAAAACAUGCCUUAAUUUGUCUAAAUAUUUGAUCAAAGAUAGUUUUUAAUUCAAUCAUCGUAGUAUUGUUGAACUGAAGAAGAAG
rnacentral:misc_RNA from 1 species